rnacentral:sRNA from 1 species
CGCUCGAAUUUCAACGUUUUGCCGAAUAUAAAAGCUGAAAGAGCAGAGAUACCAACAAAUUGCCAGAGGAACGAACCCCCUGAUUCUGAUUCUGCUUCUGCUUCUCGGGUGCUAUUUACGCGCAAAAUUAAUCGAAGCUCAUAAAGCAGCGUAAACAAAGACAGCCACCAGACAACCCAGAGAUCGAAGAGGCAGGGGCAGGGGCAACGGCAGGGAGAAGUAUGAAGAGGCGGGCAACGGCAACGGCAACGGGCACCCACAUCCACCCACAACCCAACUUGCAAGCGAAAUGUUUUGAACCACAACCCAUUCCCCAGUCCCUCCCCCGCAUCGAAGAAGAACCCAUCCAACAGCCAAACAGAUUGCCAUCAUUUGUAUUCCAGCAGCAGCUCGCAGGGCAAAACUACCUAUGGAUCUAUGGCGUGGAUUGCAUGAAGGGAUGGCAUCUGUGGGUAUAAGUAUGGAUAUGGGCAUGGGCAUGGGCAUGGGUGCAGGUGCAUACUCGCAUGUGUUGUACCGAAUCUGUUGAAUAUGCCACCGCCACCCCGUCCGCAGUUGGUGGCAGGCGUUGCCAAGGACAAGGACAAUGAUAAGGAUAACCACGACUAAGAAAAUGCCAAGGGGUUGCCUCGAUAAUCGCUGAGGAAAGUCGUGAAACAUUCCAGACUCCAUAUCUAUUUACAUUCUUCAAUUAAACUUUAGACAGACGUAACAUUGCAGCAGUUGAGGGUUUUCACAGUACUGGGAAGGACAUUGCCUUCAUUCCCAGCUGCUCAGAGAGUGGGUCUUGGAACACUGUAAGACAAAUGAAGAUGCUUGGAAUAUACCUACCAUGAAACAGUAAAAGAAUAUGCCACAGAAUGCCAUAGA